AUACAGAGGGUGCGAGCGUUAAUCGGAAUUACUGGGCGUAAAGGGCGCGUAGGCGGCUUGGUCAGUCGGAUGUGAAAGCCCCGGGCUUAACCUGGGAAUGCCAUUCGAUACUGUCUAGCUAGAGUAUGGUAGAGGGAAGUGGAAUUCCGGGUGUAGCGGUGAAAUGCGUAGAUAUCCGGAGGAACAUCAGUGGCGAAGGCGACUUCCUGCACCAAUACUGACGCUGAGGCGCGAAAGCGUGGGGAGCAAACAGGAUUAGAAACCCCAGUAGUCC
rnacentral:rRNA from 1 species